UACGGAGGGGGCUAGCGUUGUUCGGAAUUACUGGGCGUAAAGCGCACGUAGGCGGCUUUGCAAGUCAGAGGUGAAAGCCCGGGGCUCAACCCAGGAACUGCACUCGAAACUUCCGGUCUAGAGUGGUGGAGAGGGAAGUGGAAUUCCUGGUGUAGAGGUGAAAUUCGUAGAUAUCAGGAGGAACACCAGUGGCGAAGGCGGCUUCCUGGACACCAACUGACGCUGAGACGCGAAAGCGUGGGGAGCAAACAGG
rnacentral:rRNA from 1 species